UGAGGUUUGAGUUCAUCUGCUGAUUUUAUUUAUAUUUUUGAUACAAACAAUUAUGUUCACGUGUUUGAUUUUAUUGGUUUUUUUUUAAAAAAAAAUAUUUUAGAUUGUUCUUUGAAAACCACUUAGAGGUUUUUUUGUUGAGUAAGUUGUAUAUACAUUUUGUUAAAUGAAGAAAUAAGUAAAUUGAAUCACCUUAUACUCAAAAUUUAAUCUCUGGUGCAGAAUGAAGUCUCAAGGGAGUAGUCCAACGUCUACUAAACUCCCUACAGGAAAGACCCACCUAAACCCAACACUUUUUUUUCCCAGAAGAGAAUGAAAAUUUUCCUAUUUUGGUAAGCUUUUGCAUGAAGGGUAGCAUUAACUUUCUCAUUGCCAAGGUGAGAGUUUACAAUGUGGAUAUAUGGUGGUUUUUAAGGUUGCUACAUUUUAUUGUAAGCUGAACAAUAUAACACAACACGAUGGCCAAUAACAAUGACACUAAACACUAUUUAUAGACUAAUACAAAUGAUCAGAAUUUACAACCAAAGUCUCUAAAUCUUGACCAAUCACUGUAGAAUAAUUCAAAAGUUCGAUAUAUACAUAAUCUGUCACCAAAUAUCGCCUGGACAGAGUUUCCGAAUAACCAUCUGUUUCAUUCAAUGCUUCAUCAGCCAAUAUUGAUCAAUUCUCCAUCAGCCAGACUUGUAAGAAUUAAUAUGAGAAGGAUGCAGUUCAGUUUCUUAACAAGCCAAUCUUACAUGUAAGCAAAUAUAAACACUGUAGAAAAUAUGCUCUGGAUCAGUGCUCAUAUGAUACUGUAGUCACUGAUGAACUCUGUUCCAGCAAUAUUUGGUGGCAGAUUAUGUAUAUAUCGAACUUUUGAAUUAUUCUGCUGUGAGUGGUGAAGAAGAUUUAGAGACUUUGGUUGAAAUUUCUGAUCAUUUGUAUUAGUCUAUAAAUAGUGCUUAGUGCCGUUGUUAUUUACCAUCGUGUGGUGUUAUAUUGUUCAGCUUGUCUAUAUUGCAACACAGGGGUUCGUUUACAGAUUACAUUUUAUUGUAAGUCAUUUUGGGUUUUCUCUCUUUUAAAAAGAAAAAUAGGUUACAUUUUUAGAAAUAAAUGAAACAGGGCUUUUGAAUUAGAGACUCAAGUUAGAUUUGCAUGACUUAUAUUUCCUCCACAGCAGUCUUUUUUUUCUUUUUUUUUAAUUCAAGAAGUGCUACAACAAAAAAUGGAAUGAUGACUAUUAUUACUAUAGGCAUAGACCCAGAUCAGGGGAAGCAAGGAUGGCGGAAUCAACAGAAUUUAACUGAAGCAAAUCCCAUUCCAUUUGUAAUCUGUAUUUUAUUAUUUUGAUAUGAGGGGGAAGAAAGGAAUGAACUCCAAAAAAGGAAGUUGACCACUUGGGGAGGAGGGGGUGGAGGAGGCAGAACCAGAGAAAAAUAUAAAAUAAAAUAAAAAACAGCUGUUUGGCUUAGGGGAAGAAAAAGUCUUCCCCAGUGACAAAUUUAAAAUCAGAAGGAAAUUGCAUCCAAAGAGAUGGCCAAGUUGAUUGUCUCAGAACUUACAUAAAAUAGUUUGGCAUCAAAGGAGAAGGAAAAGGAAUGUCUCCAAAAUCCAGGAAGCCACAAGGAACCUUCCAGAAACAGAACAAGAAUGAGAGGGAUGUAUAAUGCAGUCCUUUAAGGAGGGGGAAAAACACCCAAGUUUCAAUACAUUUAUUUUUUUAAGCUGCAUUAUUUGUGCAUCUGAUCUGCUGUAUAUCAGCAACAUAUAUUUACUGAUCUGCAGGAAAACAUUAAAGCCAUACGUCCUGUAGCACCAACUGGACCAUUCCCAAUAGCGUUUCAAGAUGGAUUGGGAGGAAGAGCAAAAAUGGAGCCAUGUGUGAAUCUGCUUCUGCCAUAAGAGGAGAACACAUUCUUGGCUUGCUCAGACACCUUCCUGCAGUGUACACAGACUUCAAGUUUUGCAGCACUGAUGGAAUAAACAGGGGAUGUACAAGACUGAAGACCAAUAUCUCAAACUCAGGAACUGAAUGGAAUCCCGUCGCCGGACCCAGUUUUAUAAUAAAACCCAGGCACCCUCUUCUCUACAGUUGGGAAUGGCUGACCUGCUCAUUCCUGUGCUACAUCAGCCAUCACCAUUGCUGCAGUUGACAAGAGGGUGUACUAUAGUAUUCAAUCCAUCAGUCAUCACGUGACCUGAGGAGCCAAUAAUAUCCCAUCCGACCUUACAG
rnacentral:lncRNA from 1 species